rnacentral:rRNA from 2 species
UGCAGUCGAACGGCAGCGCGGGAGCAAUCCUGGCGGCGAGUGGCGAACGGGUGAGUAAUACAUCGGAACGUGCCCAAUCGUGGGGGAUAACGCAGCGAAAGCUGUGCUAAUACCGCAUACGAUCUACGGAUGAAAGCAGGGGAUCGCAAGACCUUGCGCGAAUGGAGCGGCCGAUGGCAGAUUAGGUAGUUGGUGAGGUAAAGGCUCACCAAGCCUUCGAUCUGUAGCUGGUCUGAGAGGACGACCAGCCACACUGGGACUGAGACACGGCCCAGACUCCUACGGGAGGCAGCAGUGGGGAAUUUUGGACAAUGGGCGAAAGCCUGAUCCAGCCAUGCCGCGUGCAGGAUGAAGGCCUUCGGGUUGUAAACUGCUUUUGUACGGAACGAAACGGCCUUUUCUAAUAAAGAGGGCUAAUGACGGUACCGUAAGAAUAAGCACCGGCUAACUACGUGCCAGCAGCCGCGGUAAUACGUAGGGUGCAAGCGUUAAUCGGAAUUACUGGGCGUAAAGCGUGCGCAGGCGGUUAUGUAAGACAGUUGUGAAAUCCCCGGGCUCAACCUGGGAACUGCAUCUGUGACUGCAUAGCUAGAGUACGGUAGAGGGGGAUGGAAUUCCGCGUGUAGCAGUGAAAUGCGUAGAUAUGCGGAGGAACACCGAUGGCGAAGGCAAUCCCCUGGACCUGUACUGACGCUCAUGCACG